AUUUACUUACUUUUACCUCCAAACAUCUUGGAUAACUUGUGCACACACCGUACAAUAAUGCGCUUAAAACAAUUAAAUAAAAAUGGAAGUGGCGCUCACCCCAUAGUGUAACGUUAAAAAAAUAUAACCUCUAUAACUACAGAAAACAACGUAUGUACUCACAAAAGCUGCAGCAUAUUGCUUGAGUCUCGGUCCCACAGUUUGAUGUGGCAUGGGCUUUUUCAUACAGUGUUUGAUGUAAAAAGGUAUGUUUAUAUUUUGUGAGCAUUUAUACACAUCCCAUACACAUCACAUAUUGCUCUGCCCAUAGGAUUCACACUCCGCCCAUAGCAUUUACAUACUGCUCAUAUCAUUCGAACACUGCUCUGCCCAUAGAAUUCACAUGCUGCCAAUAGCAUUCACAUACUGUCUAUUGCAUUCACACACUGCUCUGCCCAUAGGAUUCAAACGUUGCUCAUAGACUUCACACACUACUUAUUGGAUUCACACACUGCCCAUAGCAUUCACUACUGUCUAUUGCAUUCACACACUGCUCUGCACAUAGGAUUCACAUGCUGCCCAUAGGAUUCACACACUACCCAUUGGAUUGCUGCCCAUAGCAUUCACAUACUGUCUAUUGCAUUCACACUCUGCCCAUAGCAUUCACAUAUUGUGCAUUGCAUUCACUUACUGUCCAUAGCAUUCACAUACUGCCCAUAGGAUUCACCCACUGCCAUGACGAUAGAAUUCACAAGCUGCCCAUAGCAUUCACACACUGCCCAUAGCAGUCACAUACUAUCCAUUGCAUUCACAUACUGCCAAUAGCAUUUACAUACUGCCCAUAGCAUUUACAUACUGCCCAUUGCGUACACAUACUAUCCAUUGCAUUCACAUACUGCCCAUUGUAUACACAUACUAUCCAUUGCAUUCACAUACUGCCCAUUGCAUUCACAUACUAUCCAUUGCAUUCACAUACUGCCCAUUGCAUUCACAUACUAUCCAUUGCAUUCACAUACUAUCCAUUGCAUUCAUGUACUGUCCAUUGCAUUCAUGUACUGUCCAUUGCAUUCACAUACUGUCCAUUGCAUUCACAUACUGUCCAUUGCAUUCACAUACUGCCUAUUGCAUUCACAUACUGCCCAUUGCAUUCACAUACUAUCCAUUGCAUUCACAUACUGCCCAUUGCAUUCACAUACUGCCCAUUGCAUUCACAUACUGUCCAUAAGUCUAAUGCUUCUUUAGGUAAAUUUAUAUUUUGAGUCCUGCACCAGUUGAAGCAUGAUCUGAGCACUGUCCGUUACAGUGUAUACCUCCUGAAAGUCGUCUCUUCUGUCUCGUGAGUUUAUCCAUUAAGGGUUAUUAUUUGGGGAAACGUUUUUUACGUUAAUACAACAUAUGUUAUAUCUAUUUUCCAGGUUUCCAGAAUAUUAUGUCCAGUGUUUAAGUAUACACUUAAUAAUUGUUUG